AGGAUGUGAUCAGCCGUUUUGGGGGCAUGUGUGCAAGAUGAAGGGAUAAAAGCUGAAAGAAAUCAAGGUUCUUUAUGAAGGAGAAAAAAAAUGAUGUCUGUAACAAAUUGGAAAUGUCAUACAUGGAAUCUUUUCCUGAAUUUCCUCCCAAAUUCACAUGUUGAAGCCUGACCUCCAAUGUGACUAUAUUUUGAAAUAGGGCCUAUGGGGAUGUAAUAAGGGUGAAGGGAGGUCAUGAAGGUAAGAUCUUAAUCCAAUAGGACUGUGUCUUUAUAAGAAAAGAAAGAGAAUCUAAGCUUUUUCUUUCUCCAUGUUUACAGAGAAGAGGCCAUGUAAGGACAUAGUGAGAAAGCAGCUGUCUGCAAGCCACAAAGAGAGGCCUCACCAGAAACCAACCCUGCAGGCACCUUGAUCUUGGACUUCCAGCCUCCAGACUAGAGGAAGAAAUCAAAACAAAGCAAUCAACCUAUAAACGGGACAUUUUGCAAUGCCUGGAAAUAUUUAUUUUUUUUUCAGAACUGGGAAGGUGUUACUGUCAUCUAGUGGGUAGCAACCUAUGAUGCUGGUCAAAAUCCUCAAAUGUACAAAGCUCUG
rnacentral:lncRNA from 1 species